GUCCACGCCGUAAACGAUGUGUGCUAGACGUCGGGAGGCUUGCCUCUCGGUGUCGCAGCUAACGCGAUAAGCACACCGCCUGGGGAGUACGGCCGCAAGGUUAAACUCAAAGGAAUUGACGGGGCCCGCACAAGCGGUGGAGCAUGUGGUUUAAUUCGAAGCAACGCGCAGAACCUUACCAGCCCUUGACAUGGGAAGUAUGGACUUGAGAGAUCAGGUUCUUCAGUUCGGCUGGCUUCCACACAGGUGCUGCAUGGCUGUCGU
rnacentral:rRNA from 1 species